rnacentral:rRNA from 1 species
GACGAACGCUGGCGGCGUGCUUAACACAUGCAAGUCGAACGCUGAAGCUUGGUGCUUGCACUUGGUGGAUUAGUGGCGAACGGGUGAGUAAUAAGUGAGUAACCUGCCCUUUACUCUGGGAUAAGCCUGGGAAACUGGAUCUAAUACUGGAUACGACUUGUCACCGCAUGGUGGUGUGUGGAAAGGGUUUUCCUGGUUUUGGAUUGGCUCACUGCCUAUCAGCUUGUUGGUGUGGUAAUGGCUCACCAAGGCGACGACGGGUAGCCGGCCUGAGAGGGUGACCGGCCACACUGGGACUGAGACACGGCACAGACUCCUAAGGGAGGCAGCGGUGGGGAGUAUUGCAAAAUGGGCGGAAGCCUGAUGCAGCGACGCCGCGUGAGGAAUGACGGCUUUCGGGUUGUAAACAUCUUUCAGCAUGGAAGAAGCGAUAGUGACGGUACGUGCAGAAGAAGCGCCGGCUAACUACGUG